CACGUAGGGCGCAAGCGUUGUCCGGAAUCAUUGGGCGUAAAGAGCUCGUAGGCGGUUUGUCACGUCUGCUGUGAAAACUGGGGGCUUAACCCCCAGCUUGCAGUGGAUACGGGCAGACUAGAGGUAGGUAGGGGAGAAUGGAAUUCCCGGUGUAGCGGUGAAAUGCGCAGAUAUCGGGAGGAACACCGGUGGCGAAGGCGGUUCUCUGGGCCUUACCUGACGCUGAGGAGCGAAAGCGUGGGGAGCGAACAGG
rnacentral:rRNA from 1 species